AUGAACGCUAGCUACAGGCUUAACACAUGCAAGUCGAGGGGCAGCAUCAUUAAAGCUUGCUUUGAUGGAUGGCGACCGGCGCACGGGUGAGUAACACGUAUCCAACCUGCCGACAACACUGGGAUAGCCUUUCGAAAGAAAGAUUAAUACCGGAUGGCAUAGUCUUCCCGCAUGGGAUGACUAUUAAAGAAUUUCGGUUGUCGAUGGGGAUGCGUUCCAUUAGGCAGUUGGCGGGGUAACGGCCCACCAAACCAACGAUGGAUAGGGGUUCUGAGAGGAAGGUCCCCCACAUUGGAACUGAGACACGGUCCAAACUCCUACGGGAGGCAGCAGUGAGGAAUAUUGGUCAAUGGACGAGAGUCUGAACCAGCCAAGUAGCGUGAAGGAUGACUGCCCUAUGGGUUGUAAACUUCUUUUAUACGGGAAUAAAGUGAGCCACGUGUGGCUUUUUGUAUGUACCGUAUGAAUAAGGAUCGGCUAACUCCGUGCCAGCAGCCGCGGUAAUACGGAGGAUCCGAGCGUUAUCCGGAUUUAUUGGGUUUAAAGGGAGCGUAGGCGGGUUGUUAAGUCAGUUGUGAAAGUUUGCGGCUCAACCGUAAAAUUGCAGUUGAUACUGGCGACCUUGAGUGCAACAGAGGUAGGCGGAAUUCGUGGUGUAGCGGUGAAAUGCUUAGAUAUCACGAAGAACUCCGAUUGCGAAGGCAGCUUACUGGAUUGUAACUGACGCUGAUGCUCGAAAGUGUGGGUAUCAAACAGGAUUAGAUACCCUGGUAGUCCACACCGUAAACGAUGGAUACUAGGUGUAGGAGGGAUUAAACCCAUCUGUGCCGGCGUUAACACAAUAAGUAUCCCACCUGAGUAGUACGACCGCAAGGUUAAAACUCAAAGGAAUUGACGGGGGCCCGCACAAGCAGUGGAGUAUGUGGUUUAAUUCGACGCAACGCGAAGAACCUUACCAGGGCUUGACAUAUACCGGAAUACUUAAGAGAUUAAGUAGUCCUUCGGGACCGGUAAACAGGUGGUGCAUGGUUGUCGUCAGCUCGUGUCGUGAGAUGUUGGGUUAAGUCCCGCAACGAGCGCAACCCCUAUUGUUAGUUGCCAUCAUUCAGUUGGGCACUCUAGCGAGACUGCCGGUAAUAAACCGGAGGAAGGUGGGGAUGACGUCAAAUCAGCACGGCCCUUACGUCCGGGGCUACACACGUGUUACAAUGGGGGGUACAGAAGGCAGCUACACGGCGACGUGGUGCUAAUCCCUAAAGCCUCUCUCAGUUCGGAUUGGAGUCUGCAACCCGACUCCAUGAAGCUGGAUUCGCUAGUAAUCGCGCAUCAGCCACGGCGCGGUGAAUACGUUCCCGGGCCUUGUACACACCGCCCGUCAAGCCAUGAAAGCCGGGGGUACCUGAAGUACGUAACCGCGAGGAGCGUCCUAGGGUAAAACUGGUGAUUGGGGCU
rnacentral:rRNA from 1 species